GGCACAGUGGUCUAGAGGUAUGAUUCUCGCUUCGGGUGCGAGAGGUCCCGGGUUCAAUUCCUGGCUGUGCCC